CCCCCGGGGACCCCCGCCCCUCUGCGCGGAAGUCGUUUUGUGCUGGGGCGGCGAGGCGCGGCGGUGGUGGUGGUGGAGGUUCUGCAGCCCUAAAGCAGCUCAGGGAACCAUGGUGCAAAGAUGGGCUUCCUCCUGCUUGUCUGUCUCUGCUUGCUUUCUUCUAAAAUUGUGGUUUUCCUUAAAGAGGCUCCUCGGCUGAACCCCCCUCCCUUCGGUCAUCUGCUGCCCAAGCUCAGGCCACGGUUAUGGUUUAAUGGAGGAGGGCAUGUUGGCUUUUGAGGGUUUGCAGCACCCUUUUUGGUGGAUUUACUCAGGAAAUACUUGCCCUUUUUUAAAAUGAUAGGUUGUUGACAAAGGAGAUCAAAGGCUGAGGGCGGGGAAGGAGGCCUGUCUUGGGGCUUGUCAGACCCAAAGCAUUCUGUGAACCCCAAGUUCAUUCCCACCAACUCCACAGAGCAAUUGAUUCUCCCAGGCCCACCAGCUUUAAUUUAUGGAAAAGCUGUAUUUUAUGGAACGGACAACUGUAGAUUCAAGGGUUUUUAAAAUUUUGUUUUGGGCCGGGGAUUUAGCUUAGUGGUUCCGCCGGGCAAGGUCUUCUCAGUUUGAUUUUCGGUGGGAGUGGGGGGUGCGGGUGUUAAUUUUUGUGACUCUGGGAUCAAAGAAAGCCAGGGCUUCGUGCAUGCUAGGCAAGGCCUCCACUACUGAGCAGCACCUCUGGCCCCAAAUGCUUCUUAAAUAGUUAAUUUUAGAGCGUUUAGAGUUCCAGGCUUCCAAAUAUUAGAUUAGUUAGUCCCUGGGGUAUGCUUGAGAGGUUGUUCUUGUGACAGUCUGCACACUUAGGCUUUUAAAAUAGAACGGUUUUUAGCUUAUUUUGUUCUACAAAUGGAUAUUAAAUUUUAUAUCUAUAUUUCUAGGAUAUAGUUAAGGGCUUGUUGCCUGACAGCUAGUAUUUCCGGGUUUCUUAGUCAGGGGAGGGGAGGAGGCAUUGUGCUCCAGUUUUCCUUGGCCCAUAGUUUCAGAUUUCCACUUGGUUUCAUCCUUCGACUCCAGGAAACCAAAGAGCAGAGAUGCUUCAGGACGCCUUAGCUGCCACUGCCCUAAGCAAAGGCAUAAAGAAUUUGAUGGAGUUUUUUUUCCUGACGUAUGCUACAUUUCCUUCCCUUCCUAAUUUAGGUUCACAUAAGGAUUAAAAGGACCUCCCUUAGGAUGAAUAUGGACUUGGCUGAGAUGGGCAGGGUGAGAAAUCUGGUGCCCCUCUGGACUGGGUACAGUUCUCACUGCCCCCUAUAAGCACAGUCUUGUCCUAGCAGCCUUCCCCCCCCCCGCUUUUUUUGGCACUCUUUUGUAUAGAUUCCAUUUAAGUACUUAGCCAUGACCCUAUUUGGGAUCAUGGACUCUAGGAGACCAUCACCUUCCAUUAUCAAGGUUCCGUUUAGAGGAAAUGUCCCUUACCAAUAUUUCCAGAGAACAGUUUUUCCAAUCCCUGCGUUUAUAUUCCUCGAAGAUGUUCUGUCUGUUCAAUCCUCCAUGGAAAUUCCAUGGUAUCCGUUAAACGUAAAUGUGGAGCCUGCAUCUUGGGUUAGAGCUCUGGCAUCAUCAUGUUAACGCUCACUUGCAUGGCUUCCUGCUCCUCUGGUGGGGUUAUUUCUACUUCGUAUGGAAGUACAAGUGGGAGGAACUUCUUGUAAGACACUAUGAAGGGGUUAGAGUCUCUGAGAAUUACCAUCUUACACUCUGACGUUUUCUUUGGUCUGCCAGUGGGUUGAAUUCUGUCCUUUGAAUUUCUGACCCCUCACUGGAAAGAGGCUGUGUGGUUACCUUGGAGGACUGAGUAAUGUAUUGCAUGGCUUGUCCCGAGCAGCCCUAAAUGAUGACUUCUCCGAGUGCUGCAUGGUGAGAAUUCAGUGGAACUAACCCAACUGGUGGUAUCGCAAUGCCCAGGGAAGCUUUGAAAAUGAUGUCUUGGCAUUCUGAAAUCCUAGGGAGAUAACAUUAUGAGAAUUUUCUCCUGUUCUCAUCCUCUACUAAAAAUGACAAUGCUUGGUUUGCAUUUCAGAGACAGUGGUAGCCUGGAGUAUUCAGGCUUUAAAAGUUUAAACAUCAGGUGCUGGUGAAAGGCUUCACGUGCCCCUGCUCAUGAUGAGGACAGGAUCAGUGAUGACUUCCUUUUGGGCUUCCGGAGAUCUCUCUGAGAAUAUUAUCUCAGAAGUCUUGUGGCAGAUUGAGGUCCUGUAAACUCUGUCACUCACUCGGUCACUGUAUCUGCAGCUUCCAUGCCCAGCGUUUCAUCCAGCCUCAUCGUGGAAGAGUCCCGUUGUUAGCCAGGUACUUGAUUAUCUGCAAACUUUGGUGCCCAGACUGGGGGAGUGGUGCCCUGGAACCCAUCCCUGGAUAUGCCAAGGAACAGCUGCCCCCGUGCACUUAUGUAUUAGACUUUAAGAUGGAUGUACUAGUUGGCAGGUCUGAAGAAAUCUCUACCAGUCAUCUGUCAGUUUACCAUCUGAUUUUCUCUGGAAGAAAAUGAUAGACUUCUUGAUACGGAAUGGAAUUUGGCCUUAGAAUUAAAAGAAAUGGGAACUUGUGACCCUCUGGUGUAAGGUGUUUCUUACAGCACCGAGAAGUUCGGGCACAGCAAAUUCCUACAGCUAUGAGAAGCAGCUUGCCUCGAUCUUCAGAACACAGAUCACUGUGCAUCCAGGGAGCUGAUUAUCUCUUCCACUUCUUUUCUCAGGUACCAGUAAGGGGAGGAAUUGCUCACUUAGCUCAGCAUGUGUACAAGGAAAGCAAAGAUUCUUUUAUGAGGUUUUUGCUGUCCUUGGGUUGGUUUAUAACCUUGUUAGUCUGGCUUGGGUCUUCAUAUCCACACAACAUAUUGUGGGCCAAUCUGCUGGAUUCUACUUUAGCAAAAUCCAGGAAAGGAGCCUGCCAGCGUAUUAGGCUCAGGCAGGGGUGGGUGAGCCAGGCCACAUCCAGCCCAAGUCUGUUUUUGCACAGCCCAUGAGCUAAGAAUGGUUUUCAUAUUUUUAGAUGAUUUGCGGAGAGUCACAAGAAAAAUAACACAUGACACAUGAAAACUGUAUAAAACUCACAUUUCAAUGUUGAUGAAUACUGUUUCAUUGGACCAUAACUGUGGUCCCUUGCUCACCUACUGCCCACAGCUGCUUUUGCUACAGAAUUGUGUAGGGGCAACAGAGACUAUGUAGAAGCACAAGUCCUCCAGUGUUGACCGUCUAACCCUCUACUGAAAAAGCAAGCUGAUCCACUGGCUUGAACAAUGAAAUAGCAGUAGCAGUUGACGUCUUUUGAGCCUUACUAUGUGCCAGACACUGCCGAUCAUCCUUCAGGGUGGCGACCAUUUAAGGACACAGAAUAGAAGAGGAAUGAAAAGCUCACCCGACACCAGGUCUCCUGGCUGCUGAUCUGCCUGCUGUGCACAUUCCCUGGGCUGUGGCCUCCCUUCCUGCCCCUCCCGGCACUGUGGCUUCCUGGCAUCCAGCCCGAACGCACUGCCAGCCUCAGAGGGAGCUGAGUACCAGUCUGCUGCAGGGCGGGUUCAUUCAGAGCAGCGCAUGGAUGGGAGGCCUCCAGGUCUCCAGUCCAGGGCUGGCAGCUUACAUCCAAGGACAAACUGACUGGAGAGUGAUGGAAAGGAAUCGUGUUCUUAUCGUUCCACGAAGGCUGCUGGCCCUAAGGGACAUACACUGGCUGACGAGGACUCAUUUUCCUCUCCGCUGACCCGCACCAGUCACCAGCUAUCUUCCUCACCAGGAAGGGCAGGGAGUACCAACAAGGACCCUGUGCCUUCCUGGCUGGCACUGGGAGUCAGUGUGAGCACUGGGUAGCACUCUGGCCUCUCAACUAUGUCAUGUCGGCUGGAAGCCACCAGGGCCAAGGAGUGAGAAAGGCCCGGGAGGCUGUGCUCAGUGCGACAGAGAGCAGACAUGAUCUCUUCUAACUGCAUGAUUCUGCCCACUCUCCUUUAUUGGUUUAUUUUAUUUGGACUAAGAAAAGCCAAUGAGGAAUAAUGCAUUGUUUAUUCACACAUUCAGAAAACCAAUGUUGAGUUCUAAAAUGAUCCCAGGAUCAGGUAUAAAAAAAAUUAGUCCUUCCUAAUGAAAUUCAUAAACUCAAGUAUCUUUAAUAAUAAUGUUCACUAUGUAUUAUGUGCUGUAUCAGAAUUAAACCAUUUAAUUUUCACAAAAACCUUAUAUGGUUUGUACCCUAAUUAUCCCCAUUAUAUUGAUGAAAUUUUAGCAUAUGAUGUGUUGAAUUUCCUUCACUGUGACAAAGUACCCAAGCAAACAA